rnacentral:rRNA from 1 species
UGGGGAAUUUUGGACAAUGGGCGCAAGCCUGAUCCAGCCAUGCCGCGUGUCUGAAGAAGGCCUUCGGGUUGUAAAGGACUUUUGUCAGGGAAGAAAAGGAUAGGGUUAAUACCCCUGUCUGAUGACGGUACCUGAAGAAUAAGCACCGGCUAACUACGUGCCAGCAGCCGCGGUAAUACGUAGGGUGCGAGCGUUAAUCGGAAUUACUGGGCGUAAAGCGGGCGCAGACGGUUACUUAAGCAGGAUGUGAAAUCCCCGGGCUCAACCUGGGAACUGCGUUCUGAACUGGGUGACUAGAGUGUGUCAGAGGGAGGUAGAAUUCCACGUGUAGCAGUGAAAUGCGUAGAGAUGUGGAGGAAUACCGAUGGCGAAGGCAGCCUCCUGGGAUAACACUGACGUUCAUGCCCGAAGGCGUGGGUAGCAAACAGGAUUAGAUACCCUGGUAGUCCACGCCCUAAACGAUGUCGAUUAGCUGUUGGGCAGCUUGACUGCUUAGUAGCGAAGCUAACGCGUGAAAUCGACCGCCUGGGGAGUACGGUCGCAAGAUUA